rfam:Cajanus cajan Scaffold130267_25, whole genome shotgun sequence.
AUACAUACCUGGAUGGGGUCAAUGGAUGAUCAAGAAGGUCCAUGGCCUAGGGUAAUAACCUCCAUUGCACUUGGGAGGGGUGUUACCCUAAGGCUUGUCCAAGUGGCAAAGCCUACAUCAUAAUUUGUGGUAAUGGGGACCUGCGUUUGCGCUGCCCCUUA